rnacentral:lncRNA from 1 species
AAAAUUAAGUAUGAUGUUCUAGAUAUUUUAAUAUAUGAUCUUUAUCACAUUAGGGGAAAUCACUUCUCUUCCUACUUUUCCUGUUUUUUCCUGAGCUAUUUGACACAAUUCACUAGUGAAACCAUGUGCCUAGUAAGUACUAUAUACAUAUCCUUAUUUUUUACUAUUAUUAGUAGUAUUAUUAGUAUCAACACUGGCUCAGUAACUGCUUAUGUCACUUAAUUGUCUCUGGGAUUUAGGUCUUUCAUAACAUAAACCAAGUCAUAUCUUGUGGAGACAGAGUCUCACUUUGUUUUGUCCAGGCUGAUCUCUAACUCCUGGGCUCAAGUGAUCUUCCUGCCUUGGCUUCUCAGAGAUAUUGAUGUUUUUACCUUUUAUUUAUUAUUCUAUUUCUCAGAAAGAUGAAUGAAACAUAAGUGUGGUCUUUAGAGGAAGUUUUGCCUUUCUGCAUAUUUGGUGCUGCUGCAUUCCAGAUGGUUUUCUUGCCUUGCAGAAAAUAACUUUGUAGGCUGCCGUUAUUUGCAUCUGCAAGAUUUUUUCUUUCUUUUUUUAAUGGAAUGGCAAAGGAGAUAAGUUUCUAAUUUGGUCUACUGGUGAUAGUGGUUAGUUAGUUGAAAUC